rnacentral:rRNA from 1 species
AUUGAACGCUGGCGGCAUGCCUUACACAUGCAAGUCGAACGGCAGCGGACCUUCGGGUGCCGGCGAGUGGCGAACGGGUGAGUAAUAUAUCGGAACGUACCUUUCAGUGGGGGAUAACGUAGCGAAAGUUACGCUAAUACCGCAUAUUCUGUGAGCAGGAAAGCAGGGGAUCGCAAGACCUUGCGCUGAUUGAGCGGCCGAUAUCAGAUUAGCUAGUUGGUGAGGUAAAGGCUCACCAAGGCGACGAUCUGUAGCGGGUCUGAGAGGAUGAUCCGCCACACUGGAACUGAGACACGGUCCAGACUCCUACGGGAGGCAGCAGUGGGGAAUUUUUGGACAAUGGGCGCAAGCCUGAUCCAGCCAUGCCGCGUGAGUG